rnacentral:rRNA from 1 species
GACGUAGGGCGCGAGCGUUGUCCGGAUUUAUUGGGCGUAAAGAGCUCGUAGGCUGUUCGAUAAGUCGGGUGGGAAACCUCCAGGCUCAACCUGGAGACGCCACCCGAUACUGUCAUGACUAGAGUCCGGUAGGGGAGCGUGGAAUUCCUGGUGUAGCGGUGAAAUGCGCAGAUAUCAGGAGGAACACCAGCGGCGAAGGCGGCGCUCUGGGCCGGUACUGACGCUGAGGAGCGAGAGCGUGGGUAGCAAACAGG